CACGUAGGCGGCUUUAUAAGUCUGGAGUGAAAGUCCUCUUUUCAAGGGAGGAAUUGCUUUGGAAACUAUAGAGCUUGAGUGCAGGAGAGGUUAUCGGAAUUCCCGGUGUAGCGGUGAAAUGCGUAGAUAUCGGGAGGAACAUCGGUGGCGAAGGCGGGUAACUGGACUGCAACUGACGCUGAGGCGCGAAAGUGUGGGGAGCAAACA
rnacentral:rRNA from 1 species